rnacentral:rRNA from 1 species
GAACGCUAGCGACAGGCCUAACACAUGCAAGUCGAGGGCAGCACAAGGAGCAAUCUGAGGUGGCGACCGGCGCACGGGUGAGUAACACGUAUGCAACCUGCCUGUAAGCGGGGAAUAACCCGUUGAAAGACGGACUAAUACCGCAUAAUACUAAAUUACUGCAUGGUAAUUUAUUUAAACAUUUAUGGCUUACAGAUGGGCAUGCGCAUGAUUAGCUAGUUGGAGAGGUAACGGCUCCCCAAGGCAACGAUCAUUAGGGGUUCUGAGAGGAAGGUCCCCCCACACUGGUACUGAGACACGGACCAGACUCCUACGGGAGGCAGCAGUGAGGAAUAUUGGUCAAUGGACGAGAGUCUGAACCAGCCAAGUCGCGUGCAGGAAGAAUUGUCCUAUGGAUUGUAAACUGCUUUUGCGAGGGGAAUAAAGUGCAUCACGUGUGAUGUUUUGUAUGUACUCUGCGAAUAAGGAUCGGCUAACUCCGUGCCAGCCGCCGC